AUGCAAGUAGGUAGUAAAUCACACUGGGAUGGCAUGACUAUAAUAACAUCUAGUAUUACCCAAGCUUCGAUUGUUCAGAUGGGAAUGUAUCCAAAAGUAAAUAACAUCCAUAAAAAAAUAACUGGAGCUACUAACUUAUCAAAAACAGGGGAAAACAAAUGCCUAAUCCAUGUAUAUGCUACAAUGAUCUGCCUACACACAUUUUCGUAUCAGUAUUUUUCUAAUAAAACUGCUAGGAAUGUGUGGGCCAGAGAAGCAGGAGGGAGCAAUCUGACCUACACAAGAAGCUCGCUGCAUUUGGGAGCCUCGUCCUGCUCCUGCAGAAGGCGCGUAAAGGGUGAGCUCGCUACAGGAAGAGGCGUCGGCUGUUGUGGAGGAGAUCGGGGCUCGCCGCGUUCCGCCAGCUACUUCCUUGGCAGCAACGAUGACCGGGGAGGAGUGAGGCGAGGGCACUGGCUAGAGACCAGUAGUUGCUUCUGGCGGCUCGAGACGGGCCUAGAGCAGAGGGAGGCGAGGGGGUGGCGGAGGACCGGUGCGAAGGCACGGGGAAGCGACGUUGUUUUCGCCAUGGACAACCGCAUCACCCCGCCCAGCGUCUCUGGCCACCUCUCCGUCUGCCUCGUGCUCCCCCUCCUCGAUCCCUCCGCCCCCCCGUCGGAUCCACGCCGGAGCAGCCGGAUCCGCGGCCUCCUGCCUCACCUGCCGUCGGGAAGAGGACGACCGAGAGGAGCGCCGUCCGCUGCUGUCCCGAACUCUGAUUCCGCACUCGCCCAACCUACAACGGUGACAGGGGGCGCGAUAGGAGGUGGCGGCGGCAGGGGGCGCGGGGCGGGGCAGGAGGCGGCGGCGGCGGGGACGGGCGGCGCGGGAGGUGAAGAUGGGAUCGAGGAGGCAGUGUCGUACGGCUGGGCUAAUUUUUUUUCUUUUCUCUCCUCCAUACCGGUUCGGCCUGACUUAUGACGAGGACUGCGGGUUGAAUACCCAAACUAUAGGGUUUUUUUGCAAAAUUAAUGACGACGUACGACCAGAAGCAAUAGCUGGUUUAUUAGUAGGCAGAGAUGGUUUAUUAGUAGGCAGAGAUAUACUCCCUCCGUCCUGAAAAACAUGUCGCAACGGUAUUUUUAUGAAAAAGUCCUUCAGGUUUAUCCGACCGAACCCGCAGUCCAAUCGUCUCCUCCGCCAGCUCGCUCAGUUCCACUAGCUCCCCCGCAACGCCGGCGACCUCGCGUAGCUCAAGCACACCGCGCCGCCGCGCAGCUCCACCGCAACCCCGCGCGGAUCCACCUCUACCCCGUGCAGCUCCACCGCUCCCCCGCGCAGCUCCCCCGCUCCCCUUUCCCGCAUCCCUAAAUUUCCAAGCUUUCCCCCAUCCCCUUCCGGAAAAUCGGCGCUUGCUGCCCGUCGAUUCUCCACUACCACCACCAAUCCCGGCCACCGUCGAGAGGGGAGAGCAGGAGGAGGAAAAGGUCACUGGCGCCGGCAAGAUAGGGAAGAGCAGGAGGAGAAAAAGGGACCAGACGAGUGGCAGCGGGUGGUGGCGAUGCACGGCACGGUCACUGGAGAGGCGUCUGCGGCGGAGCUCGUCGGCGUCGCGUAUGCCAGGGCGUCGAAGCCGACCAACGCGUUCGCCGCCUCGUCUCCUGGAGCGGGCGGCCACAACUACAAGGGCGCCUCCGCGUCCGCCGUGCUGGCCCGCCUAGCCGGCGGCAACAGGUGGCACCAGGACGACGACGGCGGUAAAAUGGAUGAAUUGCAGGAGGUUAGCCGUCCACAUCCCUGUGCCUCUGUUGGUGAACAUCGUGGAGUAAUGUUGUUAAGUUAUCUGCUGCUGUUUGUUGUCCUGUUAAUUUCAGAAAGAAUUCCAAUCCAUCAUGGUGUGCGCAUGCAGUUAAUUGAUCUCCACACAAGCAUGGCCAUCCACCAACAUGCAAAACAAGUUCAAGACCAAAAAUAUGUGUUUCUUGCUGUUUACUCAACUGAACCAGAUUUGGGUAUUCAAGUUCCAAGGUUUCUGCUAACAGCAUACAGAUUAAAUUGAAAAGCUGGAUUCAUCUAAAUCAUGGACAGUUCAAAACCAAUUAUUUCCAAACCAAUUAUUUCUA